rnacentral:rRNA from 1 species
UACGGGGGGGGCAAGCGUUGUUCGGAAUUACUGGGCGUAAAGGGCGCGUAGGCGGCCCGCUAAGUCAGACGUGAAAUCCCUCGGCUCAACCGGGGAACUGCGUCUGAUACUGGCAGGCUUGAAUCCGGGAGAGGGAUGUGGAAUUCCAGGUGUAGCGGUGAAAUGCGUAGAUAUCUGGAGGAACACCGAUGGCGAAGGCAGCCAUCUGGACCGACACUGACGCUGAGGCGCGAAAGCGUGGGGAGCAAACAGG